AUCUUUGGUUAUCUAGCUGUAUGAGUGCUGUCGAUUCUUCAUAAAGCUAGAUAACCGAAAGU
rfam:Ficedula albicollis isolate OC2 chromosome 25, whole genome shotgun sequence.